CUGCCCCAAGGAUUCAUCCUUUACUAACCUCCAGUUCUGUUUUUUAGAAAGCUGCCAAACCAAGACAAGAGAGAAUGAACUACAUUCAGAAGGUGCAGAAAUUAGAUUAGCAUCAGGAAGUUACAUAGUUAUAUAAUCACAUAAUUGAUAGCUGAAAAAAUACAUGUGUCCAUCAAGUUCUGCCUUUCUCACAUUUGCCUUUGCUGUUAAUCCAAAAGAAGGCAAAAAACACAGUCUGAAGCGCUUUCAAUUGUGCAACAAACUAGGAAAAAAUUCCUUCUUGACCCCAGACUGGCAGUCAGAUAUCUCCUUGGAUCAAGAAGCUAUUACCCCACUAAUAAAUAAUUAUAUCCCAAUAUAGUAUGUUUUGCAAGUAUUUAUCCAAUUGCUGUUUAACCCCUUAAGUAUGGUGGGCAUUCUAUGCUGUCCUUUCUGAGGCGGUCAUGAACGCCGGCUUGAAAAAUGUCCCAAAUAGGACAUGGGUGCAUGAUGACUAGCUGAGAAAAUUCCAAGUUGGAAAACUGGAAUGUGCACCCUCUAAAUAGGUAUUUUAGCCCUAGAGAACCCAACAAACCUAUACAUGGGGCUUAUCACUGUACUCCGGAGAUGUUGCUGAACACAUAUUGGGACCUUCUUUGGCAGUAACCCUUGAAGUUCUCCAUUCUUAAAUUGCAAUA